CGGCUUGCAGCUGGACGAAACGUGGCCGAAACGGGCACAAUUUUUCGGAAAACGAAGGCUCGCAGCAAGAGCAGAAAGACAGAAAAGGAGCCGGCACGACCGGCCGGCUUACACACACUGACUUCUGACUGGUCGAGCUAGGAUCGACGGAUGCGGUCCUGAUGCGUGCCACCGUUCCAUCCACACGCGUCCAUUAUUUCUUUCGUGUGUAUUCUCCUCGCGUGUCUCGUGCCAACCUUCCGUAUCGGUUAAUUUUUCCUUUCCUUUGUCGUCGAAGGGGAAGAGAUGAGAAGGGAGAGGGGAGAAGGGGAAAAGCAGGAGGGAAUUUUUCACGCGUGGCGCCACGACUUUCCGUAGAAAGUCCAAGUAGGAAGGAGAGGCUACGUUGAAACUGAAGUGUCGUGUUCGAUGUCUGUGGUAGGUUUUUCUUUUCUUCCUCUUUCUUUUCUUGUUUUUUCGUUGUUGUUUCGAUCAAUCGAUUUGUUUUUGUUCGUUGCGUAGAAACGACUUGUUGUUCGGGAUUAAUACGAGAGUAUUUUUUUUAUUUCGUGGUGAAUGUUCGAGUGAUUCGCAAAGAUAUGGGUAUUUGUUCGUUAUAGGUUAUGUGUUUGAUUAGUUUUAGCUUGCUUUGGAUCAAGUCAAGAAUUGAUCCCUGUUGAAUUUUAACUUUACAUUACGAUGCAUUGACAAGUAAAUUUUUUGAUUAUAUUAAUUUUGUGCUGGAUGUUCGAGUAUUUGCAAAGCAUAUUUAUGUUGGGAGAAUUAUUACAAAUAGCGUUUUUGAUUAAUUUUAGUUGUGUAUUAAUAAUAAUAAUUUUUGGAUGAUAUUAAUUUUGUGCUGGAUGUUUGAAUAUUUACGAAGCAUGUUUAUUGUUGAGAGAAUUAUUAUAAAUAGUGUUUUUCAUUAGUUUUAGUUGUGUUAUUAAAUAAGAAUUGAUAUUUGUUGAAUUUUUACAUUAUGAUAUUGAUGAAAAAUUUUUAGAAAUAAUAUUAAUUAUAAUAUAUAUCAUUUAUAUAUCAGUGCCUCGAAUUUUUUGUUUUUAUUAUUAAAAGAUUUUGUAAUGAAGAAUUCUUCAGCUUUUAUUUUUUUUUUUUAUUUUUAACUUAAAAAAUAUAAUAAUAAUUUUAACUUAAAUAAAUUUAAAUAUAUAUGUCAAUGUCUAAAGAGACUAAAAUUGUAAUGUGAAAAAAUUAUUAUAUUCUAUCGAUGAAAAAUUAUUAUAACAUUAUACGAUGAUGAAUAAUGAUACGAUACCUCGAAUAUUGCGUUACUGCAUUAUUAUAAUUUAUAUGGAAAUUGUUUUCCACAAUGAACUAUUAGAUAUUACAAUAAAAUAAUCGUAAUUUUCUUUUUUCGAAGAUAAUAAUAAAUACAAAGAACAUGAAAAAAUCUUGUAUGCGGCACAUCAUUUUAAAAUAAUGAAAUUUUCAUAAUAUAAUCAUAAUAUUAAUCGAUCGAAUAUAAUGCUUCAACCAUGAAUAAUCUUAACGAAAUUAAUAAGAAAUAUCGAAAGCAAAAUUAAUUAAUUAUUGCUGAAAUGCUCGACGAAAAAAAUAACCUUUCUAUGCUAAUAACAAACGAUUUAUGUAAAAGAACCGAUCAUGCAAAUUAAACACAUUAUAUAGCGAUGUUUAAAUUGCGCCACCAAUUUUUUCGAUUAUCUUUCACGCGGCACGAUUAUGCAAAUUAUGAACUCUCGUGACACACUACUAGUUUGUUACAAAACUCGGCGUGCCACUUGCACCCGUGCACGUGAAAAUCAAUUCCAAACGAGGCGCGCAGAGACUCGCGCUGUACUCGAUGGGAGAACGCCCAUAAGCGUUUUCAUUCAUUCAUACCUCAGGUUUCUAUAUUUAACCAUUCCCAUAAGUUUGUGAUAAAUUCUCGGGGAAACGAUAGGUCGCCAAUACGUGCUGAAACGUGGCUUUCACCGUGAAUCGUAUUUCCCAUACUACACUCUCCUCGCUAUUCCUCGCGUUACGCUCACUGAAUUGCUAAUCAACCGACUGAAAUUACCAACCUUUCCCACCUAGAGAAACAAUUUUUCCCAAUUGCACGGUUAAAUGAAAUAAAGGAGUGCCUUCUUCUCUAAAGAAGAAAGGAUGAAUUUGAGUUGAACAAUUUUUUAAUUUAAUUUUUUUCAAAUUUAAAUUUAUACAAAGGAUGAAUAGUGAAAAUUUUACGUACAAGUUAUACGAUCGAUUACGUACAUCCCCUUUUACAGUCAAAAGUCUUAAGAUACGUGUUUUAAUUGAAAAAUAACUUUGAUUUUCAGAGAUUGGAGAUUAUAAAUAUUAGAUUUAUAUAUUAUGUAAGAUCGUUACGUACAAUUUAAAAUUGACUGUUAUUUAUUUUGUAACGUGAUAUAUCAAGUCAGAUGAAGCAUAGUGUAGUGUUUUUAUCAUUUCUUCUAAUUGUUAAGCUUUUUUUAUGUUUCGAAUAAAUAGUGUAAAAUAGCUGAUUCUGAAACUUUUAAAUGUACAUAGUGAGAAAAACUUAUCUUUAAGAAAAAAUAAAAAUUUUUGUUUGCUAUUAGAAGAAAAAAAAUGAAUUUUGUUUCUAUAAUCUACUUAAUGUUAAAAAUAUGAAAAUAAAGUAUGUAUUAUUAUGUAUUAAAACUGCAAAGAAUAUGUAUGAAUCAUUGUGAAACAAAAAUAAUUAACGUGCAAAUUAAAAUGUGUCGUAUUAAAUUAAUAAUUAAUGUGUUACCAUCUGAAACUAAUGAUAAGCAGUGUUUGAAAGUUAUUUAUCAGAUUAUAUAUAAGUAUAUGAAUCAUUAAGAUUCUUGAAACUAAGAUUGAAUGAAUAAUAUUUAUUUAAAAUUAAAAAAAGCAUUUGAUGAAUAAUGUCAUAAUAUACAUUAACAAUGGUACUUACAUUAUUUGAAAAGUUAUUAAAAAUUAAAAAGCUUAGAAAAAUAUAUUGUAAAAUUAUAUAUAUUUUUUUAGAUAUAUUCUUAAAAACAAGCUUGGCAUGAUUAUAUAUAAAUUAUAUAUAAUGUUACAUAUAAAUGAAAAAAACUCAAAAGUCGCGUAUGGUUUAUAAUAAUCGUUUAUAAUUAUAAACAUCGAUAUUAAAUAUCAUUGGCAUUUCACUAUUCUACUUUACAUUUCUCCAUAUAUAUAUAUAUCUCUAUCUUUCUAAUUUCGAAGAAAUAAAAUGAAUAUUAUUAUAAAUAAAUAAUUUAGAAUUAUUUACAAUCACAAUUAUAUUAUAGAGCCACAAUAUAAGAGAUCAUAAAUUAAAGUAUUAAAAACAUUGAUUGAAGUGCAAUAUGUUACAUUUAAAAUCAUAUUCUACAUUCUCUUUUAAAUUUCGAAGAUUAAGAUCCUUAUCUGAUCACAAAUUUGUCAAAACAUCAAUUCCAAUAUCUGGUAUUACUUUACAUUCGACUGGUUUUGCUGUAUCGUGAUAUAACCGAUAUCGCUGUUUCGUAAAAAGAGGAAUAAAAAUCACUAAUUACACUUCUUUCGCUUCGAUUUUAUCUCGCCAUAGAUCGAGUAGCCAAAGUAUUCCUCACUGUCGACACAAUCCAAAUAAUCAAAUACGAAACGAAAUCGGGGACAAGUUGUGCGUUGUAACCGUUGCAGCUCGUAAACCGGCGAAUUUUACAGUUUUAAAAAGAAAUGAGCGCGGCCAUUUGAUGCGUCGCACGCUCGUAAAUCAAGCGAGGAUGCAAUAUUAUUAAAUUAUGCGCAUGCGCGAUUCCUGCUAUUACCGACCGUGGAACUGCAAUCGAUCUUAUCGGUCGAUUUCAUCGAUCUUAUCGCGACAGUACGAAACGCCUACGCGUUUGUAAUCGUUGUAAUGUGUUUCGGCUUCGACCGAACACGACCUACGCCAACACGGCCACGCUGCACGCCUAGGCAACCUCGUUUCUCGGCCGAGAUAAAGGGAGAAAGCACGAGCGAGUCUCGAGCGCGCAAAUAACGAAAUGAGGCGUAAAUACUGCCUCCAGAACGGUUGCCUCCCGGCUUCAGCCGAGGAACGUGCAUGUAUGAGAGAUCCGCCAGAGAAUCCAACGAUGUCUCCGAGUUAUAUGAGUUAUAUAUUGGGCGACUGGCAGAUGAGAUUGAAUCUUCUAAUAGAGAAGAAGAUGUCAACUCGGUUGGAUCUCGUGAUGGAGAUAUAGAAUGCCUUAUAAAAGUCUUAUCGUCUAAUCAUCUAUCUUGGUUGAUAACAUAAUAACAAUUUGUAUGGGCGAGUUUACAGUGACAAUUUAUAUUUUUUAUAAAAUAUUUGUAAUCUUCCAAUAGAGAAGGAGAUAUCAACUCGGUUGAGGAUGAAGAUGUACACUGCUGUGUGUAAAAAUUUUAUCGUCUGUAGUUGAAUCAUCUAUCUUGAUUGUUCUAGCUCCUUCCUCCUUUCAAGAGGACAACGUAAAACACUAGGAACACUAGAAAGCCAUUGGGCGAGAUUUUACGAUCAAAGUGGCAAGAGGAACACGAGCCAGGAUAGAUAAACGAAAUCUCAGCGUCGUUAAAUCGUCGAGUCCUUUCUUUUUUCCACUGUUUUUUCUCUCUUUUUUUUUUUUCCUCUGAGAAGAAGAUAGAUCCACGAGGAGGAGAACGACCUCUUCCCAAUGACCUUUCCACGGAUGUUACGCGCGGAAAAAACGAGCGAAACCACACGGAGGCCUGACUCUGGGAGGAGCUUGCGCCGCAGGCUCACUUUCAGGAACUAAAAUCCACACGGAUCGAACGCGGCGACCCUCUGGUUCAAGGUGACUUUCGCUGACGUAAUCGCAGCCACUGAACGAAGAACGAUGGGAAUUAUUGGGCGAGGAAAAUGAUGUUGGAACGAAACUUUUUUCACUUUUUAUCGGAUGAAAAAUUUCGAAAAUAAAGAAAACGAGAAAAAUUUUUGGAAAAAUGAAACUUGAUAUUUUUUAAUAAUUUUUUUUAUUAGUUUUGAGAUGUUACGAGCCGAGAGGGAGUAAAAAUAAAUCAAAAA